UACCAGCACCCCGAGUGGUCGGGACGAUUAUUGGGCCUAAAGCAUCCGUAGCCGGUUCUACAAGUCUUCCGUUAAAUCCACCUGCUUAACAGGUGGGCUGCGGAGGAUACUAUAGAGCUAGGAGGCGGGAGAGGCAAGCGGUACUCAGUGGGUAGGGGUAAAAUCCGUUGAUCCAUUGAAGACCACCAGUGGCGAAGGCGGCUUGCCAGAACGCACUCGACGGUGAGGGAUGAAAGCUGGGGGAGCAAACCGG
rnacentral:rRNA from 1 species